rnacentral:lncRNA from 1 species
AAAUAUUUUUGUAUUUUUUGAAUAUCAAAAACUAUUUAAAAUGAAUUAAAAAUGACCAGAAAAGAGAAAAUUAUUAAAAAAUAGAAAAUGGUAAAAUAAAAAAUAUUAAAAAUCAUUUUUAGAAACUAGAAAUUAAAAGAGAAAUAAUGCAAUUGAUCCCAUAUUUUUUGGACCAAUAAUAGAAGAGAUAUGGAUUUUAGAAAUAAA